rnacentral:rRNA from 1 species
AAUGAACGUUGGCGGCGUGCCUAAUACAUGCAAGUCAACUGAAAUACCGGUAGCAAUACUGGUAUGGAGGUGGCGCACGGGUGAGUAACACGUAGGUAAUCUGCCUUCAGGUCUGACAUAACCCAUCGAAAGGUGAGCUAAUAUCAGAUGAUGCAGCGGCUUGACAUCAAGACAGUUGUUAAAGCUUCGGCGCCUGAAGAUGAGCCNGCGUCUGAUUAGCUAGUUGGCGGGGUAACGGCCCACCAAGGCUGCGAUCAGUAGCUGGUCUGAGA